AUGGUGCUUGCACCUGAUUGACGAUGGAUCACCAGUGAGUGGCGGACGGGUGAGUAACACGUAGGUAACCUGCCCCGGAGCGGGGGAUAACAUUUGGAAACAGAUGCUAAUACCGCAUAACAACAAAAGCCACAUGGCUUUUGUUUGAAAGAUGGCUUUGGCUAUCACUCUGGGAUGGACCUGCGGUGCAUUAGCUAGUUGGUAAGGUAACGGCUUACCAAGGCGAUGAUGCAUAGCCGAGUUGAGAGACUGAUCGGCCACAAUGGAACUGAGACACGGUCCAUACUCCUACGGGAGGCAGCAGUAGGGAAUCUUCCACAAUGGGCGCAAGCCUGAUGGAGCAACACCGCGUGAGUGAAGAAGGGUUUCGGCUCGUAAAGCUCUGUUGUUGGAGAAGAACGUGCGUGAGAGUAACUGUUCACGCAGUGACGGUAUCCAACCAGAAAGUCACGGCUAACUACGUGCCAGCAGCCGCGGUAAUACGUAGGUGGCAAGCGUUAUCCGGAUUUAUUGGGCGUAAAGCGAGCGCAGGCGGUCGCUUAGGUCUGAUGUGAAAGCCUUCGGCUUAACCGAAGAAGUGCAUCGGAAACCGGGCGACUUGAGUGCAGAAGAGGACAGUGGAACUCCAUGUGUAGCGGUGGAAUGCGUAGAUAUAUGGAAGAACACCAGUGGCGAAGGCGGCUGUCUGGUCUGCAACUGACGCUGAGGCUCGAAAGCAUGGGUAGCGAACAGGAUUAGAUACCCUGGUAGUCCAUGCCGUAAACGAUGAGUGCUAGGUGUUGGAGGGUUUCCGCCCUUCAGUGCCGGAGCUAACGCAUUAAGCACUCCGCCUGGGGAGUACGACCGCAAGGUUGAAACUCAAAGGAAUUGACGGGGGCCCGCACAAGCGGUGGAGCAUGUGGUUUAAUUCGAAGCUACGCGAAGAACCUUACCAGGUCUUGACAUCUUGCGCUAACCUUAGAGAUAAGGCGUUCCCUUCGGGGACGCAAUGACAGGUGGUGCAUGGUCGUCGUCAGCUCGUGUCGUGAGAUGUUGGGUUAAGUCCCGCAACGAGCGCAACCCUUGUUACUAGUUGCCAGCAUUAAGUUGGGCACUCUAGUGAGACUGCCGGUGACAAACCGGAGGAAGGUGGGGACGACGUCAGAUCAUCAUGCCCCUUAUGACCUGGGCUACACACGUGCUACAAUGGACGGUACAACGAGUCGCAAGCUCGCGAGAGUAAGCUAAUCUCUUAAAGCCGUUCUCAGUUCGGACUGUAGGCUGCAACUCGCCUACACGAAGUCGGAAUCGCUAGUAAUCGCGGAUCAGCAUGCCGCGGUGAAUACGUUCCCGGGCCUUGUACACACCGCCCGUCACACCAUGGGAGUUUGUAA
rnacentral:rRNA from 2 species